UUAGUAACGGGUGAUGGAGUUCCACCUUUAACCGCUCGACUGAGAUGAUGACUCCUGCUGUAGU
rnacentral:ncRNA from 2 species